rnacentral:tRNA from 1 species
AAGGUAGCUCAGCUGGUUAGAGCGCUGGUCUCAUAAGCCGGAGGUCGAGGGUUCGAGUCCCUCUCUUG